AGAGUUUGAUCAUGGCUCAGGAUGAACGCUGGCGGCGUGCUAACACAUGCAAGUCGAGCGAUUCUCUUCGGAGAAGAGCGGCGGACGGGUGAGUAACGCGUGGGUAACCUGCCCUGUACACACGGAUAACAUACCGAAAGGUAUGCUAAUACGGGAUAAUGUAUUUUUGUCGCAUGGCAAAAGUAUCAAAGCUCCGGCGGUACAGGAUGGACCCGCGUCUGAUUAGCUAGUUGGAGAGGUAAUGGCUCACCAAGGCAACGAUCAGUAGCCGACCUGAGAGGGUGAUCGGCCACAUUGGAACUGAGACACGGUCCAAACUCCUACGGGAGGCAGCAGUGGGGAAUAUUGCACAAUGGGCGAAAGCCUGAUGCAGCAACGCCGCGUGAGCGAUGAAGGCCUUCGGGUCGUAAAGCUCUGUCCUCAAGGAAGAUAAUGACGGUACUUGAGGAGGAAGCCCCUGCUAACUACGUGCCAGCAGCCGCGGUAAUACGUAGGGGGCUAGCGUUAUCCGGAAUUACUGGGCGUAAAGGGUGCGUAGGUGGUUUCUUAAGUCAGAGGUGAAAGGCUACGGCUCAACCGUAGUAAGCCUUUGAAACUGAGAAACUUGAGUGCAGGAGAGGAGAGUAGAAUUCCUAGUGUAGCGGUGAAAUGCGUAGAUAUUAGGAGGAAUACCAGUUGCGAAGGCGGCUCUCUGGACUGUAACUGACACUGAGGCACGAAAGCGUGGGGAGCAAACAGGAUUAGAUACCCUGGUAGUCCACGCCGUAAACGAUGAGUACUAGGUGUCGGGGGUUACCCCCCUCGGUGCCGCAGCUAACGCAUUAAGUACUCCGCCUGGGAAGUACGCUCGCAAGAGUGAAACUCAAAGGAAUUGACGG
rnacentral:rRNA from 1 species